CAGCGCGCGCCAAGGACACAUUCUCCAGCAACGCGGUGCGGUACCGGGCUGAGUCCAAGCGCCAGGAGCCGCGGGGUCCUGGUUGCUGUUUUCCUGUGACGCUUGGCGGCGGCGGCCAGAGCGGCCCCAGCACCGUGCCCUGGGCUCACUGCGGCUCUCCUAUCACCCAGGGGUCGUCCCGGUCCGCCCGCACUCUUCUCUCCGCCCGACCCCCCUCUGGCUGCGCGUCCUCGGCUGGCUCGGGGAGGGCGCCGCUCCUCCCUGGGAGACCCCAGGGAGACCCGCCUCACGGCCUGCGCACCUCCUCUCGCUCUAAAGCGGCCGCUGGAGGAGCCACAGGUCUGGCGGGUCCAUGUCGAGGUGCCCUGGGCUCCCGCACGACCCCACGGCCUCCUGCGUCCCGCACCUCUUGUGUCCUGCAGCCGCCCGCGUCCUCUCUGGGACCCCUUCCUUCCGAGUCCGUCCACAUCCCCGGCGGUUCCUCUGAAAUCCGCACCCCCCAACCCCGGAACCUCGGCUCUUCCGCGCGCUCCUCGUCCCCGCAUCCUCAGCCCCUAGAUGUCCUCCGCAUUCCGGCCCUGAACCCGGAUGAGGCCCUGCCCAGCGCUCGGUGCUGUCCAAGGAAAAUGAGACCUCGAGGUGAAAAGCGCAGAGGCUGUGCACGCUAGGGCCAAGCGGAGGACGCGUUAUUACUGUUUUCUUCUUGAUGAUAAAACCAGGUGUUGACAAAUGCCGGAGAGAUCGGCAUUCGCAGGACGUGGGUUGAAUGUAACUUGCAUUCUUCCAGUUCGGCAAUCUCACUUCUAGAACUCUGUCCUAGGAACAUACGAGGCUAUUUCAGGAUUGCUUACAACCUGGAGGCAACCGGGAUGUGUCUGGCCACUGGAGCUAGUGGAUUUCACGCAUCCCUGCAGUGGGCAUCAAGCAGCAAAAAGAAUGUUGUGCAGCAUUCAUAAGAAGGAAGACAUUUGUAACACAUUAUGAAAAAACAUAUGUGGGCCAGGCACGGUGGCUCAUGCCUGUAAUCCCAGUACUUUAGGAGGCCGAGGCGGGAGGAUGACUUGAGGUGAGGAGUUCAAGACCAGCCUGGCCAACAUGGCGAAACCCCGUCUCUACUUAAAAAUACAAAAAUUAGCCAGGCACGCUAGCGCGCGCCUGUAUUCCCACCUACUCGGGAGGCUGAGUCAGGAGAAUCACUUGAACCCGGGAGGCGGAGGUUGCAGUGAGCCGAGAUCUCCCCACUGCACUCCAGCCUGGACGGCAGAGCGAGACUCUGUCUCAACAACAAAUGUGUGGCAUCACCUUGAUUUUCUGAAAAUAAAAAAAUUUU
rnacentral:lncRNA from 10 species